rnacentral:rRNA from 1 species
UACCAGCACCCCGAGUGGUCGGGACGUUUAUUGGGCCUAAAGCAUCCGUAGCCGGUUCUACAAGUCUUCCGUUAAAUCCAGCUGCUUAACAGAUGGGCUGCGGAAGAUACUAUGGAGCUAGGAGGCGGGAGAGGCAAGCGGUACUCGAUGGGUAGGGGUAAAAUCCGUUGAUCCAUUGAAGACCACCAGUGGCGAAGGCGGCUUGCCAGAACGCGCUCGACGGUGAGGGAUGAAAGCGUGGGGAGCAAACAGG